rnacentral:rRNA from 1 species
UGAAACUGAGAGGAAGUGACGGGGACCCGAAAAAGCGGUGGAGCAUGUUGUUUAAUUCGAAUGAACGUGAAGAACCUUACCAAAUCUUGACAUCCUUUGACAACUCUAGAGAUAGAGCUUUCCCCUUCGGGGGACAAAGUGACAGGUGGUGCAUGGUUGUCGUCAGCUCGUGUCGUGAGAUGUUGGGUUAAGUCCCGCAACGAGCGCAACCCUUAAGCUUAGUUGCCAUCAUUAAGUUGGGCACUCUAAGUUGACUGCCGGUGACAAACCGGAGGAAGGUGGGGAUGACGUCAAAUCAUCAUGCCCCUUAUGAUUUGGGCUACACACGUGCUACAAUGGACAAUACAAAGGGCAGCGAAACCGUGAGGUCAAGCAAAUCCCAUAAAGUUGUUCUCAGUUCGGAUUGUAGUCUGCAACUCGACUACAUGAAGCUGGAAUCGCUAGUAAUCGUAGAUCAGCAUGCUACG